CCGCAGUGGCAGCGUCCGGGAGGGGAGAAUCGGUCGCGAGCCCAGCUGGCUGAAGAUCAGCAAGACGCAGGGAGCUCUAGGAGAAUCAGCGGCACCAGGAUGAAUGCAGCAGACGAUCCAGUGAUGAGUGGUGAGAUUGACCGGGUUUUUAUCUUGCGUGUGAUGAAGAUGAUGAGUCUCAGGUGUGAAGGUGGCAGAAGGCGGUGGCUUGGCGGAGGAUGGUUCCAGAACGCAGGGAAGAGAACCGUAGGGAGGGGCGAGACAUAGGGCCAAAGAAAA